rnacentral:rRNA from 1 species
AACGAACGCUGGCGGCAUGCCUAACACAUGCAAGUCGAACGAGACCUUCGGGUCUAGUGGCGCACGGGUGCGUAACGCGUGGGAACCUGCCCUUAGGUUCGGAAUGACUCCCCGAAAGGGGUGGUAAUACCGGAUAAUGUCUUCGGACCAAAGAUUUAUCGCCUUUGGAUGGGCCCGCGUUGGAUUAGCUAGUUGGUAGGGUAAAAGCCUACCAAGGCGACGAUCCAUAGCUGGUCUGAGAGGAUGAUCAGCCACACUGGGACUGAGACACGGCCCAGACUCCUACGGGAGGCAGCAGUGGGGAAUAUUGGACAAUGGGCGAAAGCAUGAUCCAGCAAUGCGGCGUGAGUGAUGAAGGCCUUAGGGUUGUAAAGCUCUUUUACCCGGGAUGAUAAUGACAGUACCGGGAGAAUAAGCUCCGGCUAACUCCGUG